AUGGUGUGUUCCGUGUGGCGCUGCCUUCGCGGCCGCCGCCGUUCCCUUGUUGUGUCUCUGAGACUGGAGGUCCCUGCUCGCCAACUCACAGACGCCCUGAAUGGUUCAGAUUUUCUGAAGGAGGAGGUGCCGAAAGGGGAUGGGAGCAACAAGUCUGAAUCGAAGAGAACUGAUGGCAUGUCCUGCCAUGAAGAAUUUGAAGCGGUCAGAAGACAUAAGAGCCCGGUCCUAUACUAUGUUAAGGCCAUGCUGAUGUGUAAGAGUUUGCGGGUGACAUCCUCCAUGGCAAUCAUAUUCCCUCCAACAUCCUUCAAGCCAUGGCGACCAGGUCAAAGAAGUCGAACCUGA
rnacentral:rRNA from 1 species